UCCCUGAUGGUCCAGUGGUUAGGACACUGUGCUGUUGCUGCAGGGGACACUGGUUCAAUCCCUGGUCAGGGAA